UACAGAGGGUGCGAGCGUUAAUCGGAAUUACUGGGCGUAAAGCGUGCGUAGACGGCUAUCUAAGUCGGGUGUGAAAGCCCCGGGCUCAACCUGGGAAUUGCAUUCGAGACUGAAUAGCUAGGGUACGGUAGAGGGAAGCGGAAUUUCCGGUGUAGCGGUGAAAUGCGUAGAUAUCGGAAGGAACAUCAGUGGCGAAAGCGGCUGCCUGGACCAGUACCGACGUUCAGGCACGAAAGCGUGGGGAGCAAACAGG
rnacentral:rRNA from 1 species